GAUGAACGCUGGCGGCGUGCCUAAUACAUGCAAGUCGAGCGAACAGACGAGGAGCUUGCUCCUCUGACGUUAGCGGCGGACGGGUGAGUAACACGUGGGUAACCUACCUAUAAGACUGGGAUAACUUCGGGAAACCGGAGCUAAUACCGGAUAACAUAUUGAACCGCAUGGUUCUAUAGUGAAAGACGGUUUUGCUAUCACUUAUAGAUGGACCCGCGCCGCAUUAGCUAGUUGGUAAGGUAACGGCUUACCAAGGCAACGAUGCGUAGCCGACCUGAGAGGGUGAUCGGCCACACUGGAACUGAGACACGGUCCAGACUCCUACGGGAGGCAGCAGUAGGGAAUCUUCCGCAAUAGGCGAAAGCCUGACGGAGCAACGCCGCGUGAGUGAUGAAGGUCUUCGGAUCGUAAAACUCUGUUAUUAGGGAAGAACAAAUGUGUAAGUAACUAUGCACGUCUUGACGGUACCUAAUCAGAAAGCCACGGCUAACUACGUG
rnacentral:rRNA from 1 species